UUACUAGAUGCUGACGAGUGGCGGACGGCUGAGUAACGCGUGGGAACGUGCCCUAAAGUGAGGGAUAACGCACCGAAAGGUGUGCUAAUACCGCAUAUGAUCUUCGGAUUAAAGAAUUUAUUCGCUUUAGGAGCGGCCCGCGUCGGAUUAGGUUGUUGGUGAGGUAAUGGCUCACCAAGCCGACGAUCCGUAGCUGGUCUGAGAGGAUGACCAGCCAGACUGGAACUGAGACACGGUCCAGACUCCUACGGGAGGCAGCAGUGAGGAAUCUUCCACAAUGGGCGAAAGCCUGAUGGAGCAACGCCGCGUGCGGGAUGAAGGCCUUCGGGUCGUAAACCGCUUUUAUUAGUGAAGAAUAUGACG
rnacentral:rRNA from 1 species